rnacentral:rRNA from 1 species
CCUACGGGAGGCAGCAGUGGGGAAUAUUGGACAAUGGGGGCAACCCUGAUCCAGCCAUGCCGCGUGUGUGAAGAAGGCCCUCGGGUUGUAAAGCACUUUCAGUGAGGAAGAACGCCUGGUGGUUAAUACCCAUCAGGAAAGACAUCACUCACAGAAGAAGCACCGGCUAACUCCGCGCCAGCAGCCGCGGUAAUACGGAGGGUGCGAGCGUUAAUCGGAAUUACUGGGCGUAAAGCGCGCGUAGGUGGCUUGAUAAGCCGGUUGUGAAAGCCCCGGGCUCAACCUGGGAACGGCAUCCGGAACUGUCAAGCUAGAGUGCAGGAGAGGAAGGUAGAAUUCCCGGUGUAGCGGUGAAAUGCGUAGAGAUCGGGAGGAAUACCAGUGGCGAAGGCGGCCUUCUGGACUGACACUGACACUGAGGUGCGAAAGCGUGGGUAGCAAACAGGAUUAGAUACCCGUGUAGUC